rnacentral:rRNA from 1 species
UACAGAGGCCUCGAGCGUUAGGCGGAAUCACUGGGCUUAAAGCGUGUGUAGGCGGAUGUCUAAGUACCUUGUGAAAUCCCACGGCUCAACCGUGGAACUGCUUGGUAUACUGGAUGUCUUGAGCCAUCUAGGGGCUACCGGAACAAAUGGUGGAGCGGUGAAAUGCGUAGAUAUCAUUUGGAACGCCAAUGGUGAAAACAGGUAGCUGGGGAUGUGCUGACGCUGAGACACGAAAGCCAGGGGAGCAAACGGG